UGGGGAAUAUUGCACAAUGGGCGAAAGCCUGAUGCAGCAACGCCGCGUGAACGAUGAAGGUCUUCGGAUCGUAAAGUUCUGUUGCAGGGGAAGAUAAUGACGGUACCCUGUGAGGAAGCCCCGGCUAACUACGUGCCAGCAGCCGCGGUAAUACGUAGGGGGCUAGCGUUAUCCGGAUUUACUGGGCGUAAAGGGUGCGUAGGUGGUCCUUCAAGUCGGUGGUUAAAGGCUACGGCUCAACCGUAGUAAGCCGCCGAAACUGGAGGACUUGAGUGCAGGAGAGGAAAGUGGAAUUCCCAGUGUAGCGGUGAAAUGCGUAGAUAUUGGGAGGAACACCAGUAGCGAAGGCGGCUUUCUGGACUGCAACUGACACUGAGGCACGAAAGCGUGGGUAGCAAACAGG
rnacentral:rRNA from 1 species